rnacentral:rRNA from 1 species
GUGGGGAAUAUUGGACAAUGGGCGAAAGCCUGAUCCAGCCAUGCCGCGUGUGUGAAGAAGGUCUUCGGAUUGUAAAGCACUUUAAGUUGGGAGGAAGGGCAGUAAGCUAAUACCUUGCUGUUUUGACGUUACCGACAGAAUAAGCACCGGCUAACUCUGUGCCAGCAGCCGCGGUAAUACAGAGGGUGCAAGCGUUAAUCGGAAUUACUGGGCGUAAAGCGCGCGUAGGUGGUUCGUUAAGUUGGAUGUGAAAGCCCCGGGCUCAACCUGGGAACUGCAUCCAAAACUGGCGAGCUAGAGUACGGUAGAGGGUGGUGGAAUUUCCUGUGUAGCGGUGAAAUGCGUAGAUAUAGGAAGGAACACCAGUGGCGAAGGCGACUACCUGGACUGAUACUGACACUGAGGUGCGAAAGCGUGGGGAGCAAACAGGAUUAGAUACCCGAGUAGUCC